rnacentral:lncRNA from 1 species
CCCCUCGCCGUGCGCCAUGACUGUGGAACGUGGUGCCGGGGAGGAGGGCCCGCCGCCGGGGGGCCGCCCGGGGCUGCUCCGCAUUGGUUGCAGAAACCCGAGCCCUGGAGUCGCUCCCCCUCCUUGGGCUUGUCUCCUCCUCCUGCUCUGCGGGGGAAAACCGCUGCACCCAAACUGAGAGCAGCUGCGAGCAAGGGGGCAGGGCCCCGGCUGGCAGGCUAGCCAAGGGUUCGAACCUCCCUCGGGGGUCGCUGGUCUCGGAGAGGGGCAUGGACCCGAACAAGACCUGGUCCCGGGGCGGCAGAUCAGGCCAGAACAUGGAGGUCAAAGGACAACUCGUCAGCAAUUGGUUCUCAUCUUCCACCAAGUGGGGUCCAGGGAUGGAACUCAGGUCAUCAGGCUUGGCCCAAUUCAUUGACAUGGUACCAGAUUUAAAUCAACAGCAAGAAGCCUCCUCUCCAAGCUCUACCCCGUCCACUCCAUUUUCCUGAAGCAGAAGCAAGCAGAUUCACAGGGGGAAGAUAUGGCCAACUGCUUUCCAGUGGAGGCCAUGAGAGACUCUUGAGACAUCCAUUUAAAUCUUUAUGUACAGAUCUCUUUUGCCUGCCCUGGCGGGGCCACCUUCUUACUCCCUCCCACCAUUACCC